rnacentral:rRNA from 1 species
AGCAGUGAGGAAUAUUGGUCAAUGGCCGGAAGGCUGAACCAGCCAUGCCGCGUGAAGGUCAGUGCCCUAUGGGCGUUAAACUUCUUUUGUGCGGGAGCAAUAAGGUCCACGUGUGGACCGACGAGAGUACCGUACGAAUAAGCAUCGGCUAACUCCGUGCCAGCAGCCGCGGUAAUACGGGGGAUGCAAGCGUUAUCCGGAUUUAUUGGGUUUAAAGGGUGCGUAGGCUGUGAGGUAAGUCAGCGGUGAAAUGCCCCCGCUCAACGGGGUGAAGUGCCAUUGAUACUGCCUUGCUGGAAUGCGGAUGCCGUGGGAGGAAUGUGUGGUGUAGCGGUGAAAUGCAUAGAUAUCACACAGAACACCGAUUGCGAAGGCAUCUCACGAAUCCGCUAUUGACGCUGAUGCACGAAAGCGUGGGUAUCAAACAGGAUUAGAUACCCUGGUAGUCCACGCUGUAAACGAUGAU